UGCGUAGACGGUUGCAUAAGUCGGAUGUGAAAUCCCCGGGCUCAACCUGGGAAUUGCAUUCGAGACUGUGUAGCUGGGGUGCGGAAGAGGGAAGCGGAAUUUCCGGUGUAGCGGUGAAAUGCGUAGAUAUCGGAAGGAACAUCAGUGGCGAAAGCGGCUUCCUGGUCCAGCACCGACGUUCAGGCACGAAAGCGUGGGGAGCAAACAGGAUUAGAUACCCUGGUAGUCCACGCCAAUAAACGAUGAGAACUAGACGUUGAGAGGGUAAGCCUCCCAGUGUCGUAGCUACGCGCUAAGUUCUCCGCCUGGGGAGUACGGCCGCAAGGUUGAA
rnacentral:rRNA from 1 species